CGUAGGGACCAAGCGUUGUUCGGAUUUACUGGGCGUAAAGGGCGCGUAGGCGGCGUGGCAAGUCAGCUGUGAAAUCUCCGAGCUUAACUCGGAACGGUCAGCUGAUACUGCUGUGCUAGAGUACAGAAGGGGCAAUCGGAAUUCUUGGUGUAGCGGUGAAAUGCGUAGAUAUCAAGAGGAACACCUGAGGUGAAGACGGGUUGCUGGGCUGAUACUGACGCUGAAGCGCGAAAGCUAGGGUAGCAAACGGGAUUAGAUACCCCGGUAGUCCUAGCCCUAAACGAUGAAUGCUUGGUGUCUGGAGUAUUAAUUCUCCGGGUGCCGUCGCUAACGCUUUUAGCAUUCCGCCUGGGGAGUACGCACGCAAGUGUG
rnacentral:rRNA from 1 species